rnacentral:rRNA from 1 species
AUUGAACGCUGGCGGCAUGCCUUACACAUGCAAGUCGAACGGUAACGCGGGGCAACCUGGCGACGAGUGGCGAACGGGUGAGUAAUGUAUCGGAACGUGCCCAGUUGUGGGGGAUAACUGCUCGAAAGAGCAGCUAAUACCGCAUACGACCUGAGGGUGAAAGCGGGGGAUCGCAAGACCUCGCGCAAUUGGAGCGGCCGAUAUCAGAUUAGGUAGUUGGUGGGGUAAAGGCCUACCAAGCCUACGAUCUGUAGCUGGUCUGAGAGGACGACCAGCCACACUGGGACUGAGACACGGCCCAGAGUCCUACGGGAGGCAGCAGUGGGGAAUUUUGGACAAUAGGGCCAACCCUGAUCCAGCCAUGCCGCGUGCGGGAAGAAGGCCUUCGGGUUGUAAACUGCUUUUGUACGGAGCAAAAAGGUCCUUUCUAAUACAAGGGGCUCAUGACGGUACCGUAAGAAUAAGCACCGGCUAACUUCGUGCCAGCAGCCGCCGUAACAC